CCUACGGGUGGCAGCAGUGAGGAAUAUUGGUCAAUGGCCGUAAGUCUGAACCAGCCAAGUCGCGUGAAGGAUGAAGGUUCUAUGGAUCGUAAACUUCUUUUAUACGGGAAUAAAGUGUUGGACGUGUGGUUUUUUGCAUGUACCUUAUGAAUAAGGAUCGGCUAACUCCGUGCCAGCAGCCGCGGUACUACGGAGGAUCCGAGCGUUAUCCGGAUUUAUUGGGUUUAAAGGGUGCGCAGGCUGCUUUUUAAGUCAGCGGUGAAAGUCUGUGGCUCAACCAUAGAAUUGCCGUUGAAACUGGGAGGCUUGAGUGUGUUUGAGGCAGGCGGAAUGCGUGGUGUAGCGGUGAAAUGCUUAGAUAUCACGCAGAACUCCGAUUGCGAAGGCAGCCUACCAAGCCAUGACUGACGCUGAUGCACGAAGGCGUGGGGAUCAAACAGGAUUAGAUACCCCAGUAGUC
rnacentral:rRNA from 1 species